GUAUACAGCCUUAAAAUAAAACUAAACUAAUUUGUUGCUUUUCUAUCGUUUUCAUUAAAACUUUAAUUACAGAGCACAAAAAUUUGAACGAAUAUGAAAAUGUAUACUAAGACGUCUUCCUUACAAAAUUUGGAAAAGAUCAGCAACCCGGCGCGAGAGCAUUCCGUCACUACCGACCACGUAUUUAUAGCAGCAUUCGAUAAUAAUGAUUUAUAUAUUUAUCACCACAUCGAAAUUACGUCACCGAACACGCACAUUAAAUGCCGCUGCUGGGGAACAACGUUCUUCAUUAAAAAAAAUUUCGCAAUGGGGAUUAGCGGCAAUUCCAUUUUUUAUUAUUAUAAAUACCGUUUACUGGAUAGGGCAUAUUUCAUAUAUAUAUAUAGUGUUAAAUACUAAUAAGUGACUUCCAUUUAGAAAUCUUUUAAAACGAUUUUGAUGUAGGUUGGUACCUACUUGUUAAAUUUAAGUAAUUCCAAAGUGGUUUUUUUGUCAGUUUUUCAGUAAGCCAUACUAAUCACCAAAUACUUACUGAAUUUAAAAAACGGCUAUCUAUCCGAACAUAAAAUAGAUAUCUUGUUCAGUCAAUUCAAAUGCAUUUUCCGGCGUUCGAAAUGUUUUGUACGAACGAUGCUUUUGUUUAACUAACGAACAGUAAAGCUGAAAUUUGUAUACUACUGACCGUUACGAGGACUUCCUACACAUCGGCUUGAGGAGCACGAGGAAGUAGCGAACGACGUCGGACCAACUUCCCGCACUCAAAAAUACACCUUAAACGCGUCGAGAGAGGAUUCUUUUCUAAAUGCAAUUAUUAGUUUACACGACUGCGAGUAAAUAAAUCCGGCAAGUUUAAUGCAAAACUUUUGGUUUACGCUUUAUGGUAAAUAUUUGGUGUACGUCGUAUAACUGUUUUAUAGUUCUAGUAAAAUGUUUGGUUUAAUUGUGCUAGGUCAAGAGCGGGCGUUCGACAGCCGUCCUUGCGACGGAUAAAUAUUAUUGUCUAAGCGGGUUUUCCGCUGUUUGGAUGUUUGUACGAGUUUGUGGAUAAUCCAGACGGGGAUCCGAGAGUGCAAUAGCCUUACCAUCGUUUAAAAGCCUUUUAAUCUAUCUGCUUUCUUUAAUUUGUGUCUUUAGCACACACUUGGUUUGCAAAGAUCACAGUAAGUAAGUAGGUAUACAUCUAUGCCUAUCCUAUGCCGUUCCGAAAUCCAGUUUAGUUUUAUUACACGUGCCCGUUUGGUGGCGUGUCGUUUAAUUUUGUAUCAACGUAAUUAAAAAUGAAACAGCGGAAACAAAUACCUACGCAUAUUUAAUAUUUCAUUUGAUAGAAUGAAUAUUUUGUUAUUUUUUCGUUACUGUGAAAUUAGAUGUAUUAACGUGUGCCCGGGUACGCCAGAAGUAUGCAUCUGUAGGUAUAGGAGACAUUUCUGUCUUGUUUGUGAACACAAGAAAAAAUAAAUGAAAAUUUUGCUAA